rnacentral:rRNA from 1 species
CCGGAUUUACUGGGUGUAAAGGGCGUGUAGGCGGAGAUGCAAGUUGGGAGUGAAAUCCCGGGGCUCAACCCCGGAACUGCUUUCAAAACUGUAUCCCUUGAGUGUCGGAGAGGCAAGCGGAAUUCCUAGUGUAGCGGUGAAAUGCGUAGAUAUUAGGAGGAACACCAGUGGCGAAGGCGGCUUGCUGGACGAUAACUGACGCUGAGGCGCGAAAGCGUGGGGAGCAAACAGGAUUAGAUACCCUGGUAGUCCACGCUGUAAACGAUGAAUACUAGGUGUGGGAGGACUGACCCCUUCCGUGCCGCAGUUAACACAAUAAGUAUUCCACCUGGGGAGUACGACCGCAAGGUUGAAACUCAAAGGAAUUGACGGGGGCCCGCACAAGCAGUGGAUUAUGUGGUUUAAUUCGACGCAACGCGAAGAACCUUACCAGGGUUUGACAUCCAACUAACGAAGUAGAGAUACAUUAGGUGCCCUUCGGGGAAAGUUGAGACAGGUGGUGCAUGGUUGUCGUCAGCUCGUGUCGUGAGAUGUUGGGUUAAGUCCCGCAACGAGCGCAACCCCUAUUGUUAGUUGCUACGCAAGAGCACUCUAGCGAGACUGCCGUUGACAAAACGGAGGAAGGCGGGGACGACGUCAAAUCAUCAUGCCCCUUAUAUCCUGGGCUACACACGUAAUACAAUGGUGGUUAACAGAGGGAGGCAAUACCGCGAGGUUGAGCAAAUCCCUAAAAGCCAUCUCAGUUCGGAUUGCAGGGCUGCAACUCGCCUGCAUGAAGCUGGAAUUGCUAGUAAUCGCGGAUCAGC